GUGUUCCACGCUGUCGGUUCGCCGCCCGUCGGUGUUAACUGGCAUGUCCUGUGGAACGUCCUGCCGGUGGCGGUCCGGGCUCUCGGCUUGCGUAAAGGCUUACGCCCGAAGCAGGUCGAAAAGUUCCGGCCGCCGGUCCAAUCCCGCCACGGUGCUCUUUACCGAGUGUCGAGGUGGGCCGGCACGUUUACUUUGAACAAAUUAGAGUGCUUAAAGCAGGCUGGUGUCCGCCUGAAUACUGUGUGCAUGGAAUAAUGGAAUAGGACCUCGGUUCUAUUUUGUUGGUUUUCGGAACCCGAGGUAAUGAUUAAUAGGGACAGGCGGGGGCAUUCGUAUUGCGACGUUAGAGGUGAAAUUCUUGGAUCGUCGCAAGACGAACCUAAGCGAAAGCAUUUGCCAAGUAUGUUCUCGUUAAUCAAGAACGAAAGUUAGAGGUUCGAAGGCGAUCAGAUACCGCCCUAGUUCUAACCAUAAACGAUGCCAGCCAGCGAUCCGCCGAAGUUCCUCCGAUGACUCGGCGGGCAGCUUCCGGGAAACCAAAGCUUUUGGGUUCCGGGGGAAGUAUGGUUGCAAAGCUGAAACUUAAAGGAAUUGACGGAAGGGCACCACCAGGAGUGGAGCCUGCGGCUUAAUUUGACUCAACACGGGAAACCUCACCAGGCCCGGACACCGGAAGGAUUGACAGAUUGAGAGCUCUUUCUUGAUUCGGUGGGUGGUGGUGCAUGGCCGUUCUUAGUUGGUGGAGCGAUUUGUCUGGUUAAUUCCGAUAACGAACGAGACUCUAGCCUGCUAACUAGGCGAUUUCCGGUACCCACAAUAGUGUUACCGGCGAUUCAAUUUCUUCUUAGAGGGACAGGCGGCUCCUAGCCGCACGAGACUGAGCAAUAACAGGUCUGUGAUGCCCUUAGAUGUCCUGGGCCGCACGCGCGCUACACUGAAGGAAUCAGCGUGUCAUCCCUGGCCGACAGGCCCGGGUAACCCGUUGAACCUCCUUCGUGCUAGGGAUUGGGGCUUGCAAUUGUUCCCCAUGAACGAGGAAUUCCCAGUAAGCGCGAGUCAUAAGCUCGCGUUGAUUACGUCCCUGCCCUUUGUACACACCGCCCGUCGCUACUACCGAUUGAAUGAUUUAGUGAGGUCUUCGGACUGGUGCGCGGCGAUCGGUUCCACCGGCCGCCGAUGUUGCCGGAAAGAUGACCAAACUUGAUCAUUUAGAGGAAGUAAAAGU
rnacentral:rRNA from 1 species